rnacentral:misc_RNA from 1 species
GAUGAAGAACGCAGCGAAAUGAGAUAAGUAAUGUGAAUUGCAGAAUUCAGUGAAUCAUCGAAUCUUUGAACGCACAUUGCGCCCGCCAGCAUUCUGGCGGGCAUGCCUGUUCGAGCGUCAUUUCAACCCUCAAGCUCUGCUUGGUGUUGGGGCCCUACGGUUGACGUAGGCCCUUAAAGGUAGUGGCGGACCCUCUCGGAGCCUCCUUUGCGUAGUAACUAACGUCUCGCAUUGGGAUUCGGAGGGACUCUUGCCGUAAAACCCCCAAAUUUUCUAAUGGUUGACCUCGGAUCAGGCAGGAAUACCCGCUGAACUUAAGCAUAUCAAUAAGCGGAGGA